CUACUUAUUUAGAUUUAGUUUGACUUAAUGAAACUGCCUUAAAUGUGCUGUAGUAAAAAAAUAUAUAUUCUCACUAAUCAAUCAACACAUUCCUGUCUUUGUAUGUCUCAAUAUAAUAGUAUUAUUUAAUUAAAUCCAUGUAAAAUAAGAUUUGUCUGACAAUAAAAUAUGAUCCUCAACUGCGUUUCCCCCCCCCAGUCAGCAGACGGCGAUGUGCGUCUUUCAUGCGAUGCUGCUAGCGUGACGUAUAAUCUAGUGGACGGUUCUUCAUAAACAGCUUGUCAACCACCUCGGUAGCUUGCUAGCCAACAUACCCGAAAUAUUCAAGCUGUUUAUACGCUUUCGGUGUAUUUUAGCUACUGUGUUUUAGACACACGUCUGUCGUAUCUACUUGUUAACCUAUUUAAUUUAAUAUUACGUUAUUUUGUAUUAGUCAGCUAUAGUAGCUGGCUGGUUAAGUUAGCACUAGCCUAGUCGCUAAUGAUAGCUAACUAGCUAACAUCCCCGAACAUGAGCUCCCUAAACUACUCCCCUCCUGUUAAAGAAGAGGUCUGCUGGACGGAGAAAGAAGCUCUGGGGCUGAACUUUGUCGUGAAAGAGGAGAAGGAAGAGGAGGAUGUUACUGUGAUAAAAGAGGUUGAGGCUGUUACCAUGAAAGAAGAACAGAAAGACGUUUCAGUGAAAGAAGAGGAAGACUCGUUCAGAGUGAAAGAGGAGGAUAUUACAGUAAAAUAAGAGGAGGAAAGGAAAGAGGAUGCAUUUUUUUGAGUGAAGGGGUGAUUACUGUCCCAUUGAAAGAUGAAGAGGAGGAGAUAGGAUAUCUGAUUAACACCAGAGAGAGGCCAGACUCUCGCUAUGACAGCAGGAAGAGUCCUUCAAGGGAACCAGACCCAGAGACGCCCAAACCAGCGAGACAACACAACUGCUCCCACUGUGAAAAGAGAUUUUCCGGAUCAGGGGACUUAAAAGCUCACGAGAGGACACACACAGGAGAAAAGCCUUUCCAAUGUUCCCAGUGUGGAAAGAGUUUUAUUCAGUUAGGAAGCCUGGAGGAGCAUGAGUGGACGCACACAGGAGAAAAGCCUUAUCACUGUUACCAGUGUGGAAAGAGUUUUACUGUGUUAAAUAACCUGAAAAGGCACGAGAGAAUACACACAGGAGAAAAGCCAUUCCAGUGUUCUCAUUGUGGAAAGAGUUUUAUUCAGGGAGGGCACCUACAAGAGCUUGAGAGUAUACACACAGGAUUAAAGCCUUACCACUGCUUCUUAUGUGAAAAUAGAUUUCCCCGAUCAGGGGAACUAAAAGCUCAUGAGGACCCACACAGGAGAAAAGCCUUUCCAAUGUUCCCAGUGUAGAAAGCAUUUUACUGUGUUAGCUAACCUGAAAAUGCAUGAGAGAAUACACACAGGAGAAAAGCCGGACACUGAAGAUGUGUGUGUGGAUUAAGGCAGCCGUUCGUACCUCUGAUUCAGAGGGGUUGGGUUAAAUCUCAAUCCAAGAUAGAUAGCGUAGCAGUGCAGACGUGUUUUGUUUUCCUCUCGUGUACUUUUGUAUUUUUUUGUCUUUUUAAAAUAUAUUUCAAUUUUAUUUUCAAUCGCUUCUACAUUUUAAUUCAACUAUACCUUCCGGUAACCUGCCUCACCCAAUGUGAUACGGAACCGCUAUUAUUUUAAAUUUGUAGACCUUAUAGCAAGAACCACCUAGCCAACAGAAGCUAAUUAGCUACAAGCUAUUUAGUCAUUCUUAGCCACUGCUAGCGGCCUUUACCUUCUGCACAGAUACCAGCCCUUUUUAAAAAUAUUUUUUUAGCCUGGGUAAUACUCACCAGCCUACCAGUAACGGACUGUCUCUCCACUACAACGCCGGAUUCCUGCCAUAAUCCCCGGACCAUUACUCCUGAUCUUCACAGCUAGCUAGCACCCACCGAGUUACCCAGUACCGAAGCUAUCCCUGAGGCCCACCUCCCGGCCUACUCAGUUGUUCACCCGGACUCCACCCAAAUACUGCUAGAACACACUACUCCACCGGAUCCUUGCCGUAAGCUCUGGACCUUGGCACCGGAUCACCGCUGCUACCGAGUGGCUAUAGUGGCUAACGCCCCUGCCUCGAAGCUAGCACCAGUUAGCCGUGAGCCAUGCGCAUCUCCCGGCUAGAAAACUAAAUUAUUACAACUACAAUACCUCUUUCGCCAUCUGUCUUGGAUCCUUAGUCAACACGGCGCCCCGCCGCACCACCACGACUGGUCUGCCGACGAAUACUCCAUCCGCUGUGCCUUCAACCGGCCUCCGUCGGAGCAGACGCUUCUACUAGCCCCGAGCUACUAACUUUAAACAUUGUGUCGCCUGCGUGCUAGCGUAGUAGCGACUACUCCGCGGAUUCCCUGUUCCAUCUUGAUGCUCCCUGGACCCUAUGAUCACUUGGCUACAUAGCUGAUGCCUGCUGGACUGUCCAUUAAUCACGCACACCACGCCAACCCUGAUGUCCUUGCCGUGUAUGAAACCUGGCUUAGGAAGG